AAUGCCUACGGGGGCAGCAGUGAGGAAUAUUGGUCAAUGGGCGGAAGCCUGAACCAGCCAAGUCGCGUGAGGGAAUAAGGCCCUACGGGUCGUAAACCUCUUUUGCCGGGGAGCAAGGGCGGGGACGUGUCCCGGCCCGGAGAGUACCCGGAGAAAAAGCAUCGGCUAACUCCGUGCCAGCAGCCGCGGUAAUACGGAGGAUGCGAGCGUUAUCCGGAUUUACUGGGUGUAAAGGGCGCGUAGGCGGGAUGGCAAGUCAGAUGUGAAAUCCAAGGGCUCAACCCUUGAACUGCAUUUGAAACUGU
rnacentral:rRNA from 1 species